GGCAGUGGUAGCUCAGUGGUUAAAACACUAGACUACUGCUCAGAAGGUUGUGAGGUCAAGUCCCAGCACUGCUG